UCCUACGGGACGCAGCAGUGGGGAAUAUUGCACAAUGGGGGGAACCCUGAUGCAGCGACGCCGCGGGAGUGAAGAAUUAUUUCGGUAUGUAAAGCUCUAUCAGCAGGGAAGAAAAUGACGGUACCUGACUAAGAAGCCCCGGCUAACUACGUGCCAGCAGCCGCGGAAAUACGUAGGGGGCAAGCGUUAUCCGGAUUUACUGGGUGUAAGGGGAGCGUAGACGGCGGAGCA
rnacentral:rRNA from 1 species